UUUCCUUAACAUUUCAAUGAGACAACAAAAAUUGUCAAAAAACCUAGGCGUGUUACGGGUUAAAAAUAGAUAUCCAGGGAUAUUCUUCAGAAAAGUCUCGAGAAAGUCAUCUGUCUAAUGACUUUUUAAGAUUUGAGUAGCCCCCGUUCUAGGAAAACUUUGGCUGCAUAAAGCUCUCUUUCGAAGCUUCUACAUUGAUGACACAACAGCUGUUAUGAUGAGAUGUCUAGAUUGAUGUGACUAUUAUCCAAUGUACUGAGUGUUUUUAAUCUUAAUUUUCUCUUAAGCCGUGUUUUAUUGAGGACAUCAAGAAUAGUUGGACCUACGGUGGAAUUUCUCCCUCUGGCAACUUCACUAUGACUAAUAACGAAAAUCUGUGACAUUAGUAUUGUUCCCUAGGAAUCUCUCCAAUGUAAUGAGCUACAA